rnacentral:rRNA from 1 species
GAAGCACCGGCUAACUCCGUGCCAGCAGCCGCGGUAAUACGGAGGGUGCAAGCGUUGUUCGGAUUUAUUGGGCGUAAAGCGCGUGUAGGCGGUCUUUUAAGUCUGAUGUGAAAGCCCUGGGCUCAACCUGGGAAGUGCAUUGGAUACUGGGAGACUUGAAUACGGGAGAGGGUAGUGGAAUUCCUAGUGUAGGAGUGAAAUCCGUAGAUAUUAGGAGGAACACCGGUGGCGAAGGCGGCUGCCUGGACCGAUAUUGACGCUGAGACGCGAAAGCGUGGGGAGCAAACAGGACUAGAUACCCUGGUAGUCCACGCCGUAAAC